ACGGGAGGCAGCAGUGAGGAAUAUUGGUCAAUGGACGAGAGUCUGAACCAGCCAAGUAGCGUGCAGGAUGACGGCCCUAUGGGUUGUAAACUGCUUUUAACCGGGAAUAACGUCAUGCUCGUGAGCUUGAGUGCAUGUACCGGUUGAAUAAGGGUCGGCUAACUCCGUGCCAGCAGCCGCGGUAAUACGGAGGACCCGAGCGUUAUCCGGAUUUAUUGGGUUUAAAGGGUGCGCAGGCGGAGGAUUAAGUCAGCGGUGAAAUUCUCAUGCUCAACAUGAGAACUGCCAUUGAUACUGGUCCCCUUGAGAGAUGUCGAGGAUGGCGGAAUGUGAUGUGUAGCGGUGAAAUGCUUAGAUAUGUCACAGAACACCGAUUGCGAAGGCAGCUGUCCAGAGAUCAUCUGACGCUCAGGCACGAAAGCAUGGGUAUCAAACAGGAUUAGAUACCCUGGUA
rnacentral:rRNA from 1 species